rnacentral:snoRNA from 1 species
GCAUGUUUAGCUUUGACAUCUGAGAUCUGACCCAUGCCCUGUGGUUCUGUCUCAGCGUGCGACAUGCAAGAUUAGUCUGACUCCGAACCAUUGGCUGGCCCCAAACCGUGGGCUUGAUCACUGAAGAGAGUCAUACAACU